CUUAGAUGAAAUGAUGCUCCUCAAUACCUAACUUGUUGAAAGAUUAAAUGCUUCUUGAGAUCCCCCUAAGUCGUUCAAACAAAACUAACAAUUAAUCUCAUAUUCGAGUAAUUACAAACGUACUUUUCACAAUAAAACUUAUGAGACAAACAAUAAGAUUAACAGAAUAAAACGCUAUUUACAUAAUACCCAACAGCAGAUCAAUUUCCCCCUCCACAAUUCGUUUGAACAGAGCAAGAAUAAAAAAACCCCAACCAAAAAAAAAGAAAGGGGCGAAAAAUAGAUGGAGAAUAAAAGAAGAAAGUAAACUUGAAAGUUUGGAAAAACGUCAAAAUUGAACAGAAAUUUCGGCAAGAGAGAGAAAACAAAAUAAAAAAAUAAAAUCAAAAAAUUUGACUAACAUCCUACUAAAUCUCAACCCCCA
rnacentral:lncRNA from 1 species